UACGGAGGGUGCAAGCGUUAAUCGGAAUUACUGGGCGUAAAGCGCACGCAGGCGGUCUGUCAAGUCGGAUGCGAAAUCCCCGGGCUCAACCUGGGAACUGCAUUCGAAACUGGCAGGCUAGAGUCUUGUAGAGGGGGGUAGAAUUCCAGGUGUAGCGGUGAAAUGCGUAGAGAUCUGGAGGAAUACCGGUGGCGAAGGCGGCCCCCUGGACAAAGACUGACGCUCAGGUGCGAAAGCGUGGGGAGCGAACAGG
rnacentral:rRNA from 1 species